rnacentral:rRNA from 1 species
UGAGCAACCUGCCCUGGACUUUGGGAUAACCCUCGGAAACGGGGGCUAAUACCGGAUAUUACUGCUGGCCGCAUGGUUGGUGGUGGAAAGUUUUUCGGUCUGGGAUGGGCUCGCGGCCUAUCAGCUUGUUGGUGGGGUGAUGGCCUACCAAGGCGACGACGGGUAGCCGGCCUGAGAGGGCGACCGGCCACACUGGGACUGAGACACGGCCCAGACUCCUACGGGAGGCA